CAGUUUUAGAGGACAGAAGUAUGGGAGAAAAAGAGUAUGGCUUUAGAUAGCUGUCUUGGGAUUUGGUGCACUGACUAUCUCUACCUUCUAUGCUGGUAGGUAAAGCUCAGCUGCUCUUGGGCUCAGUCAGGAGAAGUGGGCCAUUCAGUGCAUGCUGUUUGAUGGUUUUCUUUCCUCCCAUUGCAGGGGAAGUGCCCUAGGCUUAAGGCAGGAUGUUCUGGUGGUGACAGCCAGUUCUGUCGCAGGCUGUUGCACAGUCUUAAGGGAUGCUAGGUUGCUGCCUGCCCUCUUCCUGGUGGUAUAUGUAUCAGGCAGAGAUGUGUUAAUCAGCUUUAUGAAGUUUGACCGUAGCGAGCCUCCUGCCUGUAUUCAGUCAAUCAGCGUUCGGCCUGAUGGUGCAGUUCUCCUCUUCUCUGUUCCACUGGUUGAGUUCAUUGUUCCAAUAUCCUUGGUGGAGUCGUCCGGGAAGGGAUCUGCACGAGGUCAGAGUGCCUCUGUUUCAUCCUUCUCGUAA
rnacentral:lncRNA from 1 species